UACGGAGGGGGCUAGCGUUGUUCGGAAUUACUGGGCGUAAAGCGCACGUAGGCGGACUGGAAAGUUAGAGGUGAAAUCCCAGGGCUCAACCUUGGAACUGCCUUUAAAACUAUCAGUCUGGAGUUCGAGAGAGGUGAGUGGAAUUCCGAGUGUAGAGGUGAAAUUCGUAGAUAUUCGGAGGAACACCAGUGGCGAAGGCGGCUCACUGGCUCGAUACUGACGCUGAGGUGCGAAAGCGUGGGGAGCAAACAGG
rnacentral:rRNA from 1 species